CUUUCUCAAAGGCCUAUCCAAGUUUGUGCGCGCUGCCGCCUCUCACCUUGAACCCUGCUGCAGUCCUCUGUGUUUCAGGAAGUUCGUACUAAUGGAUGAGGAUGUUGGAUGCGGGGACAGGGACACAUCCACUAUCUUUCCUCAAGGGUGCUUAUUUAUUUUUCAAAUUAAAAUCCAUGCUCUUCUGGAGGCUUCUUCUGUGAAACAAAGAAAAUGCACUGGGCACGUUCUCUAGACAACACACAGUCUAGAGGCACAUGCAGACCCCACUAGGACGUACCAAAGAAGACAGGAUUUCUUUCCUGUGAGGCUGGGGUCUCCCUAGUACUGACAUUCUGCAAGAUACAGUGCCUGAGAAAAGGUCUGUGGCUAUAAUUACUGCGAAAUGGAAAAUAGCGGUCAUUUUAAUCGCUUUCCUGCUACUAAACAUAUCACAAUGCUGAGGGAAUCACAGUUUGGGGAGUAAAAGCUAACUUUGCUUGGUUUCAUUUUCUCUGCUCCUUCGGACGUCACUGAUGCUAGAAGGUCUAGUCCACCUCUGUCGGGAAGCAGUGGUACGCUGGACAUCUCCAGCUAUGGCAGCUGGUGUUGUAACACAGCUUGGCCAGAAAGCAGAGAGAGGUGAUUAUAAAUCUCCUAGGGCUGGCAAUCAAGAAGAGCCAUCACACUUAAGAAAAAGUUGCUGAGAGCUAUUCCAGAGAGGAAGAUAAAAAGUCAAAGUGCCCUGGUAUUAGGUAAUAAGACUUUCCUUGGAACUGCUAUUAAAGUUUCCAAGUGCCAGUUUCUACAGCAGAAGGAUACAUCUUUUCUUUGUUGGCUUGUUUCUAUUUUGCUUUGUUUCUUUUUUUUUGGUUUUGUUUUCUGAGACAGUGUUUCUCUGUGUAGCUCUGACAGUCCUGGACCCUGGCCUCCAAAUCUCAGAGACCUGCCUACAUCUACCUCCUGAGUGCUGUGACCCCCACCUCCCCUCUUCCCUCCUCUCCGCCACAGUGUCUUUUCUUAAAUAUAAGGAAAAAAUUGUCUGGAAGGAUUGAUUAUUUGAGACAGCUUAGCGCUUGGAUUGGACUUUUUAAUUUUUAUAUCAAGCUCACUACAAGGUGUAGGCUGGCCAGUAGCUCCAGUGUUUGCUUUGAUAUCAUGAGUACUGGCACAGAUAUGUACCACUGUGCCCAGUGAGGGGUUAGACUAUAGCAAGUGCAGUUAGAAUAGUUACGGCUGGCCCCAUGGGGAAAUUCUAACCUGGGGUCUGUGGCCUUUAGAACUUUAU